UCGUCUUCUGGAUCCAGGAAUUUUUUGAAGGAUUCUUUAUCAUUGUGAGAUAGGGCAAAUUUUGGAAUUUUUGCAUUUAACUCAAUAAAAAUGGCCAGAGUCUUUAGUAAAAAAUUACACAAAAGGAUCUCAAUGAGUUUUAUGAGGUGUCAAAGGUUGAUCCUGAUCCAGACAAAAUUCCGGAUACUGUGAUCCAGAACACACAAAAAUAAGGGUGUCGUUGGAAUUUUCAAUGCUGAAAGAUAACCAGUGGGCGGCACAGUGGUGUAGUGGUUAGCACUGUCGCCUCACAGCCAGAAGGUCCUGG